GUGCUCACUUCAGCAGCACAUAUACUAAAUUGGAAUGAUGCAGAAAAGAUUAGCAUGGUCCCCGCCCAAGGUUGUCAUGCAAAUUAAUAAAGCAUUCUAUAUUUUC
rnacentral:snRNA from 1 species